UUUUUUUAUGUUGUGAGUGCGUGCAUUUGUGUUGUCCGGUGUUUGAAGACGCUUGGAAUUUCGCUUUCAAUAUCUUCGUAAGAAAAAUGUCGGGUGAUACCGAUAAAGCAAAAAUCAGUGAUAAUCAGGAUGAGGACAAAAAGUCAGGUGCGGGGGACGGCCAGACUACAGAAGAUGAAUCAUCCCAGGAUUCCAAGGGUGAGUCGGCUGUACCUGAGGUGCAAGGUAACGCAGUAGAUGAACCAGACAACAGUCAGCCCCCCGAAGGUGACGCAAAAUCGACCACGGCAAACGGUAAAGAUGACUUAGGCGGUGAAGACGUCAAAGAUGAAAAGGCAAAAGCAGAUGUUGACAAAAAGGAAGAAAAUGGUGAGACACAUGAAGAGGAUGAUAAGGAAGAUGUGAAGGAAAACGAUAAGCCAGCUAAAAAACCGGCAGCCAAGAAAAAACCUAAAAAGGAGGAUACAGAGGAAGAAGAUGAGGAGGACGAGGAAAUGGACGAAGAAGAGGAAGAAGAAGGAGAGGAGGGAGAUGAAGAGGAUGAGAAGAAGCCUAAGGCCAAUAAAGUAAAGAAACCGGCAAAGAAAGCAAAGGAAGGCGACGAAGAAGGUGAAGAAGACGAGGAGGAAGGAGAAGAUGAAGAAGGUGAGGAGGAGGAGGAAGAAGAGGAAGAGGAGGCCCCCAAACCUAAACCCAAGAAAGAGCCCACUGAGCCUCCGGUCCCUCUUCCGGCGGGCAAAGGUAUCCCUCUGGGUCACAUCAGCAACGUGGAAGUUUCCCUCUCCAGGUUUAAGACACAGGACCAGAAGCUUUUACAUCAGUACUUGUAUGGACAACUGUGUCUGGACCGUAACGUGAAGCGGAACAUCAAGAAGUUCAGAGGCUACGAGUGGGCCGUGGGCUCAUCCGACUACAAGGCCAAGCUGGAGGAGACCACCAAGAUGGAGCCCAAGCAGAUCAGGACCAUGUGCGAGAUGCUGGAUCUCGAUAAGAAAGGUGGAACAACAGAGCUGGCAGCCCGCCUGGUGGGCUUCCUGCAGUGCCCCACGGCCAAUUCGCCUCACGCGAGAGGAGUAGCCCGGCCUCCGCCUACGGCUUCUUCGACGCCUGGAGGCAGACCCAGGAGAUCUGUCGCCGUCAAAGUUCACAAUCGAGGCUAUUCAGAUGAAGAGUAUGAAUCGGACCCAGAGAAAGUCAAAGGACCAAAACCACCGAAGGAGGGCUCGGAAGAUUCUGAUGGGUCAUUCAACCCGAGCGGCUCAGAAGCGGACUCGGACUUUGACCCCGAGGUAGGAGAGGGAGUCGCGGUUGUCGGAAAGAAACGCAAGAGCAGCGGACGCCGUCGCUCCUCGGGCAAGGCGGGCAAGAAGGGCAAGAAGAGGGGGAGGAAGGCCAGCGGGAAGGUAAGCAGAGGUCGCGGCCGCAGGGCGAAGUCGGACAGUGAAGAAGAGAGUGACAAGUCAGAGAGUGAGAGCGAUGCAGGAGGAGAAUCUGGCAGCGAGGGAGAAGAGUCUGACGAGCCGAAGUCGAAGCGCGGUCGGCCGAGCGGGUCCGUGGCCAGAGGCCGCAAGGGCCCCCCGGCCAAGAUGGCCAAGACCACGCCCGCCAAGCGGAAAACGGCCUCACCGCCAGCUAAGAAGAAGGGAAAGCCAGGCAGGCCAGCCGGUGGUAAGAAGGGAAAGAAAGCAUCCUCUGACGAAGAAUCUGGAGAAGGAAGCGAAGAGGAGGAGGAGGAAGGUAGCGAGGAAGAAGAGAGCGGAGAGGAGAGUGACGGCGGCCCGGCUGAUAAGAAGGCUAAGAGACCGCCUACUGACGACGAGAUAAAGAAGUACGUGAAGCAGAUCCUGGAAGGCGCCAACCUGGAGCAGAUCACGAUGAAGACGGUGUGCAAACAGGUCUACUCGCACUACCCGGACUUCGAUCUCGCGCACAAGAAGGACUUCAUCAAGGCCACCGUCAAGUCGUGUAUUUAAGAUGUAAAGAAUGAGCGGAGUAGUCUACGUAGCGUUAUCUAUUACUAUAGUUUUAAAGGACAUAUUAUUACAAUAAUAAUAAUAUAUUAUCAGAAUAUAUUUUUUUUAAUAUCCGCAAACGUGUGGAACGGAUAUCCGCCCGCUUUACAUUCAGCUCAUAGCAUCGUGAGCGACUCGGCCGCAUAGCAUAGUCGUAAGCCACAACUUAGACUAAUUGUACACACGAUCAUUACAUUUCCACAAUUGACAUAUUUUUCAUAUUUUAACAUUUUAAUUACGAUUAACAAUAUUGUUUGAUUAUUUUGUGAAUUGUACGAUUGCAAUGCACGACAGCUUUGUACUAAAUGCAAAAAUUACCUUGAGGUAUAAAGGGGCCGUUCGAGUAUUACGUAAGCACUAGAGGGGGAGGGGAGGUCUUUGAUUUUCUUAUUUGGUGAUUACGUCAACAGUAAUUAUUUACUUUUUUGAAUGUUAUACUUCUUUUGGCGCGUUAGGGAAAUAUGAUGAGAGUUAAUUUUUACACACAAUUUUGUCACAAAAAACCGACACCCAGAAUAUCUGUUCAAACGUCGGUAAAACAGUCUGGGCCGCUAGUUUGAGCUUGAUCUGUUUUAUCGACAAGACGCUCGAAGAAAAUUAUUACGCCAAAGUAGUAUUAACUUCUAACACGUGUACAUAAGUACACGUAUUUUUUUACACCACACAUGCUUGAAAACUAAAUGCAUUUUCAAGGAUUCCUACAAAAA